CCUACGGGUGGCAGCAGUGAGGAAUAUUGGUCAAUGGGCGCAAGCCUGAACCAGCCAAGUAGCGUGCAGGAAGACGGCCCUAUGGGUUGUAAACUGCUUUUAUACGAGAAUAAUUUGAUGCACGUGUGCGUUAUUGCAUGUAUCGUAUGAAUAAGGACCGGCUAAUUCCGUGCCAGCAGCCGCGGUAAUACGGAAGGUCCAGGCGUUAUCCGGAUUUAUUGGGUUUAAAGGGAGUGUAGGCGGUUUGUUAAGCGUGUUGUGAAAUUUAGGUGCUCAACAUUUAACUUGCAGCGCGAACUGUCAGACUUGAGUACACGCAACGUAUGCGGAAUUCAUGGUGUAGCGGUGAAAUGCUUAGAUAUCAUGAAGAACUCCGAUUGCGAAGGCAGCAUACGGGAGUGUAACUGACGCUUAAGCUCGAAGGUGCGGGUAUCGAACAGGAUUAGAUACCCCAGUAGUC
rnacentral:rRNA from 1 species